AUGGGUCUCCUACAUUGCAAUAGACUAAAAGAAUCAUUUGGACUCUUUGUUUGUCUCUUUGAUUUUGCUCUACAAUACGUUAUCAGCACUUCGCUCUCCAUUGAGACUAAAAGGCCAUCCGAGACAGGAGACUAUCGGCAGCGCUUGCCUACAGGAUCCAAUCACUCUGGAUGGAUACAGACAGAUCCAUUCCUUCUUGCCGGUCUUGAUACUCCACCCUUUGACGCAGACGUACUUGCAUCGGCGAUGAUGGCUGGCGCAGGACAUGGCUGCUUGGUGCGGCCCGCUACCGGCGCGAAGGGGCGCCAAGCCUGUGCGGCGGAUCUCGACCUCAGCGCUGCUCCUUCCGGCGUGAUUGCGUGA
rnacentral:rRNA from 1 species